GGGAGAAUAGGAUUCAUUUGAUCAUUUGACAAAAAUAGAGAAAGGAAGAGGAAAAGUAAGGAGAAGAGGGGAAGAACAAGAGAGAAGCUAGGGUUUCCAGAAAUUUGAAGAGGUAAGGGGGGAAUCCUUAUUAUUAUGGGUUAGUAUGAUCGGGUCAAUGGAUAGAUGCAUGUUUAGGUUAAAAUCCCUAAUUUUGUAUGGUUGUUUGAAAUUGUUAGGUUUUGAUGAGUAUUCGAUUUGUG
rnacentral:lncRNA from 1 species